rnacentral:rRNA from 1 species
CCCUUAGAUGUCCGGGGCCGCACGCGCGCUACACUGAAGGAAUCAGCGUGGCUUUCUCCCUGACCCGAAAGGGUUGGGAAACCCGUUGAAUCUCCUUCGUGAUAGGGAUUGGGGCUUGAAAUUGUUCCCCAUGAACGAGGAAUUCCCAGUAAGCGCUAGUCAUAAGCUCGCGUUGAUUACGUCCCUGCCCUUUGUACACACCGCCCGUCGCUACUACCGAUUGAACGGUUUAGUGAGGGCCUCGGAUUGGUCUCGGCCCGCUCUUUACCGGGCGGCGCCGUUGGUCGAGAAGACGCUCGAACUUGAUCGUUUAGAGGAAGUAAAAGUCGUAACA